CGCACAGCCCAUUAACACGUGGCUAACCUGCCCUUAGGACGGGACCAACCCCGGGAAACUGGGGCUAAUCCCCGAUAGGCGAAGAACUCUGGAAUGAGUCUUUACCCAAAAGACACCCGCGUUACGCUCGCGGAUGCUGCCUAAGGAUGGGGCCGCGACCGAUCAGGCUGUUGGUGAGGUAAUGGCCCACCAAACCUAUAACCGGUGCGGGCCGUGAGAGCGGGAGCCCGGAGAUGGGCACUGAGACAAGGGCCCAGGUCCUACGGGGCGCAGCAGUCGCGAAAACUUUGCAAUACACGAAAGUGUGACAGGGUCAUCCCGAGUGCCGACCGCUGAGGUUGGCUUUUACCCAGUCUAGAAAGCUGGGGGAAUAAGGAGAGGGCAAGUCUGGUGUCAGCCGCCGCGGUAAUACCAGCUCUCCGAGUGGUGUGGACGUUUAUUGGGCCUAAAGCAUCCGUAGCUGGCUGAACAAGUCCCCUGUUAAACCCACCGAUUUAAUCGUUGGUCUGCGGGGGAUACUGCUCGGCUAGGGGACGAGAGAGGCAGACGGUAUUCCCGGGGUAGGGGUGAAAUCCUAUAAUCCCGAGAAGACCACCAGUGGCGAAGGCUGUCUGCUAGAACGCGCCCGACGGUGAGGGAUGAAAGCUGGGGGAGCGAACC
rnacentral:rRNA from 1 species